UUGGAGGGCAAGUCUGGUGCCAGCAGCCGCGGUAAUUCCAGCUCCAAUAGCGUAUAUUAAAGUUGUUGCAGUUAAAAAGCUCGUAGUUGAAUUUCGGGAUUGACGUGAUGGUCAUGCCUUAAGGGGUACGAACUGUCACAGUUGAUUUCUCACCUUCUGGAGAAACUUGAUGUCCUUUAUUGGGUGUCUUGCGGAUCCAGGACCUUUACCUUGAAAAAAUUAGAGUGUUUAAAGCAGGCAUUUUUUGCUCGAAUACAUUAGCAUGGAAUAAUAGAAUAGGACGGCAUGGUUCUAUUUUGUUGGUUUCUAGGAUCACCGUAAUGAUUAAUAGGGAUAGUUGGGGGCAUUAGUAUUCAAUUGUCAGAGGUGAAAUUCUUGGAUUUAUUGAAGACUAACUACUGCGAAAGCAUUUGCCAAGGAUGUUUUCAUUAAUCAAGAACGAAAGUUAGGGGAUCGAAGACGAUCGGAUACCGUCGUAGUCUUAACCAUAAACUAUGCCGACUAGGAAUCAGACGAUGUUAAUUUUUUAAUGACUCGUUUGGCACCUUACGGGAAAC
rnacentral:rRNA from 1 species